rnacentral:snRNA from 1 species
AUACCUUAGCUUUGGCAGUAUCGCAGCUAAUGAGGUUUAUCUGAGGCACGAUUAUUGCUAAUUGAAAGAAAUAUACCUUAAAGCAAGC